GUUUGUCUCUCACCUGCAGUGGUCUCCUGUCUUGCUGUCUCUUGUUUGCUUCUGCUGCUGCAGAUAUCUGAGAAUGUCUAUGAGGAGGACGUCCUCCAACAGCAGCUUCUCCUCCUUCGCCGUGGUUUGGAUGGGUUCUCUGCACAUGUGGUUUGAUGGACAGGAGUCCUGAUGUGAUGGACAUGUGAUGGUCCAUAGGCGUAACCACGCAUUCUUUUGGGGGGUCGUGUCCCCCCCAAUAUUGAAAAGGCGUCACAGAGAGACGGGGAAAGAGACAGGCAAGUUAAAAGCAGUGGCCACACAGGGACAAGCUCUGGACAUGCAGAUGAUCAGGAGACUGACAGGGAAAGAGAGACAGAACCAGGCACAGGAGGCAGUGGUUUAGAUCAGCGUGAGGAGGAGCUCGUGGGACAAGGUCCUCUUCUUUCUACAAGGCGCAGCACCGGCUUCGCUCUCUUGCUCCUCUGCUGCUGCACACCAAGCACGCCGAAGACCCAUUUCCAUCUUCUCCAUGCCACCCAUUCUUCCUCUCCCAUACUGUUAAAAAACAAUGGAAAGAAACAUAAAUAGCUCAUGUGGUGUAUUGACCAACUACAUGAUGACCUAUGAUGAACUAAAUCUCUACACACCUUUCUCUUAUGGCGGAAAUGACUCAUCAAUUACAACAAAUUGCCGCCGUCCACCGAUGAGCUGUCCUUGUUGUCGUCUCGUCCUCUCAACGGCCCGUCUGCAGACCUUCCUUAGUUUUGUGCCCAUCUUGCAGAGGGUUGCAGCAAUAUCGUCCU
ensembl:lncRNA